AUAGAAGACACUGCUUCAUUCUCUCCUGAGGAUUGCAAUUGGAUGCUGAUGGAUCUUCCAAGGAUAGAGUGCAGAUGGAUGUCAAACCUUUAUACCUGAAUGACAGGCGCUUUGCAGAUCAUUAAUUAUUCAGAAGGACAACUCAUAAUGUGGCUCAGUAGUGUGUAUGGCC